CAGUGCUCUCACAAUCAAAUUUUCGAAUUCCUUAGAAAAAGCUCGAAAAUUCCUCAGAUUUCCUUAAAAUUCCUUAAAUUGGUAAAAUUACUACAAGGCCUGAUCACAUAGUUGCAAAAAGUGUUUUUUUUCACCUGAUUUACCUGAAUUUUUCAGACUGAACGUUUUUUAAAACCGUAUUUUUUGAAAAUUUGAAGUCUCUAGACCGUCGGAAAUGGCAUUUUUAGAGUCUUUCCUACCCAAUAUUUUACUAGUAUUGCCUAACAAUGAAGAUAAGUAUUGCUACUUUCAGUUUAGUGGGAAAUUGAGAAAAUUUUGGAAAUUUGGAGUCUCCAGAUCGUCAGAAAGGGUAUUUUGUAAUUGUCCCCUGCCACAACAAGUCUCAACGUCUUUAGUUUGUUUGAUUGUUAACUCUAAUUCAGAUUAUAGAGUUCACUUUCUACAGUGAAAUCUACUAAAAUCUACAGGAAAUCUACCUGAAAUUGUUCAUGAGCAAUAUUAGGGGUGUUGCACCCUCCCUCCCCCGGUCGCUACGGCCCUGAGAACUUAGAAAAUCUGUAGAUUUCAAAAGAAACAGCAUACACUGACAUUUAACUUUUGAGAAUUUUAAUGGAAAGACAGCCAUAUGUAGAUUUUAUACGACAUAGAGAACAUGCGAAUAUAUGUAAUUAUGUGCAUAUAGUGUGUUUCAAGUUUAAAUCUCAUUUGCGUGGCGUGGUUAUUCUCCGUCCAGGAUAAAAUGUUUCGGAAAUUCCUUAAAAAAAUCCUCAAAAACCUAAAUUCCUUAAAAAAAUCCUUAAAACUCUUCAAAAUUCCUAUUUUUAAGGAUAAUUCCUUAAAAGUGAGAGCACUGGCCGUCAUUGUUCGACUAGCUCUCGUUGUGUUCACUACUCAAUUUGCAAGGAGCGGUAUUCAAAAGUACAAAUUGAAAAUUGUAAAUCAUGGCGAAUUUUCGUACUGUUCGUGGCAACAAAGCUACUGAUUUGGAUGGACGUGACAAUCUUUAUGUACAUUGUGUGUCGAAAGAGCGACUGGAGCUGCUUCGUGAAGGGAUGUCGAACUUCUAGUUUUAUGGAUAUUAAACGAGAACAUUUGGGCUUUGGCGUAAAAGUUGACUUAUUAUAUGUUCGCCGAAUGCGAUUGUCCUUCAUUGAUAGAAAUCUAUUCUAGUUGUGACCUUAAGGUACGAUUAUUUUAUGAUUUAAUUGGUG